AACGAACGCUGGCGGUAUGCCUAACACAUGCAAGUCGAACGAGACCUUCGGGUCUAGUGGCGCACGGGUGCGUAACGCGUGGGAACCUGCCCUUAGGUUCGGAAUAACUCCCCGAAAGGGGUGCUAAUACCGGAUAAUGUCUUCGGACCAAAGAUUUAUCGCCUUUGGAUGGGCCCGCGUUGGAUUAGCUAGUUGGUAGGGUAAAAGCCUACCAAGGCGACGAUCCAUAGCUGGUCUGAGAGGAUGAUCAGCCACACUGGGACUGAGACACGGCCCAGACUCCUACGGGAGGCAGCAGUGGGGAAUAUUGGACAAUGGGCGAAAGCCUGAUCCAGCAAUGCCGCGUGAGUGAUGAAGGCCUUAGGGUUGUAAAGCUCUUUUAGCCGGGAUGAUAAUGACAGUACCGGGAGAAUAAGCUCCGGCUAACUCCGUG
rnacentral:rRNA from 1 species